rnacentral:rRNA from 1 species
GGACCUUCCCCUUCGGGGGACAGAGUGACAGGUGGUGCAUGGUUGUCGUCAGCUCGUGUCGUGAGAUGUUGGGUUAAGUCCCGCAACGAGCGCAACCCUUGUCCUUAGUUGCCAGCAUUCAGUUGGGCACUCUAAGGAGACUGCCGGUGACAAACCGGAGGAAGGUGGGGAUGACGUCAAAUCAUCAUGCCCCUUAUGACCUGGGCUACACACGUGCUACAAUGGAUGGUACAAAGGGUUGCGAAGCCGCGAGGUGAAGCCAAUCCCAUAAAACCAUUCUCAGUUCGGAUUGCAGGCUGCAACUCGCCUGCAUGAAGCCGGAAUCGCUAGUAAUCGUGGAUCAGCAUGCCACGGUGAAUACGUUCCCGGGCCUUGUACACACCG